UACAUAGGGGGCAAGCGUUAUCCGUAUUUAUUGGGUGUAAAGGGUGCGUAGACGGAGAAACAAGUUGGUUGUGAAAUCCCUCGGCUCAACCGAGGAACUGCAACCAAAACUAUUUCCCUUGAGUGUCGGAGAGGAAAGUGGAAUUCCUAGUGUAGCGGUGAAAUGCGUAGAUAUUAGGAGGAACACCGGUGGCGAAGGCGACUUUCUGGACGAUAACUGACGUUGAGGCACGAAAGUGUGGGGAGCAAACAGG
rnacentral:rRNA from 1 species